rnacentral:rRNA from 1 species
ACGGGUGAGUAAUACAUCGGAACGUGCCCUGUAGUGGGGGAUAACUAGUCGAAAGAUUAGCUAAUACCGCAUACGACCUGAGGGUGAAAGUGGGGGACCGCAAGGCCUCAUGCUAUAGGAGCGGCCGAUGUCUGAUUAGCUAGUUGGUGAGGUAAAGGCUCACCAAGGCGACGAUCAGUAGCUGGUCUGAGAGGACGAUCAGCCACACUGGGACUGAGACACGGCCCAGACUCCUACGGGAGGCAGCAGUGGGGAAUUUUGGACAAUGGGGGCAACCCUGAUCCAGCAAUGCCGCGUGUGUGAAGAGGGCCUUCGGGUUGUAAAGCACUUUUGUCCGGAAAGAAAUCGCACUUACUAAUAUUAGGUGUGGAUGACGGUACCGGAAGAAUAAGGACCGGCUAACUACGUGCCAGCAGCCGCGGUAAUACGUAGGGUCCAAGCGUUAAUCGGAAUUACUGGGCGUAAAGCGUGCGCAGGCGGUUGUGCAAGACCGAUGUGAAAUCCCCGGGCUUAACCUGGGAAUUGCAUUGGUGACUGCACGGCUAGAGUGUGUCAGAGGGGGGUAGAAUUCCACGU